UUAUACAUCAUGUUUAUUGUGAUUCAAGUGUGCUUACGGUUUCCAUCAGUCACUAGCAUGCGCAGGCGAUACCGAGCCUUCCCCAUGUACUCAGUUGUGCUCACUGGCCUAUUUGAUCCAUGCUCUGAUUUUUUUGGUGUACAAUGGCGUUGUAAAUACUUUGUUCCAGCCGCCCUUUUUUGCCGGGUGCUGGAAAUAGGUUGCUCGGAGUGAGCUUCUUCCUGCAUUUGAGUUUGGUUAUUCGGUAUGUGCCCUUAUGUUGGACUGCAUAUAGUUUCUUAUGAAUUGCAGUUUUAAGUGUUAAAGCCGGAUUUUAUUUUCUGUUUGAAUGCACACCAUCUUGUGGUACUUUAUUAAAUAAGAUAGAAUUACAGCUUUCUUCUUGCGUGUUUGGCCGUUUUAGGUUACAUAUUGCUUUCAAUUUUUUUACCUUUCUGGAUUUGUCUUCAUUUGAGCCGAUUGCCAUUUCAAAUUUGGGCAUUCAUUCAUUUGCAGGUGGCGUCUCGUAGAAAUGUACCACGUCCGCACCAAAAUAUAAGACGUCUUUGUAGGCUAGCGUCUUCUUACAUUUUGAUACAGAGGGAAUAGUUGGUUUCUUGCAUGAUUCAUCUGAACCACCUGCAAGCUUGAAC
rnacentral:lncRNA from 1 species